GACGAACGCUGGCGGCGUGCUUAACACAUGCAAGUCGAACGGAAAGGCCUGUCCUUCCUUGUGUUGGACGGGUACUCGAGUGGCGAACGGGUGAGUAACACGUGAGUGAUCUGCCCCCAACUUGGGUAUAAGCCUGGGAAACUGGGUCUAAUUCCCGAUAGGACUGCAGGGUGGUGCCUGUGGUGGAAAACGAUUUUCUAGUGGUUGGGGUUGAGCUCGCGGCCUAUCGGCUUGUUGGUGGGGUAAUGGCCUACCAAGGCGGCGACGGGUAGCCGGCCUGGGAGGGUGGACGGCCGCAUUGGGACUGAGAUACGGCCCAGACUCCUACGGGAGGCAGCAGUGGGGAAUAUUGCACAAUGGGCGGAAGCCUGAUGCAGCGACGCCGCGUGGGGGAUGACGGCCUUCGGGUUGUAAACUCCUUUCGACCGCGAGGAAGCCGCCUGGUUGGAAGGGUGGUGACGGUAGUGGUAGAAGAAGCACCGGCUAACUACGUG
rnacentral:rRNA from 1 species